rnacentral:rRNA from 1 species
CCUACGGGAGGCAGCAGUAGGGAAUAUUGCUCAAUGGGGGAAACCCAGAAGCAGCAACGCCGCGUGGAGGAUGAAGGUUUUAGGAUUGUAAACUUCUUUUGAUAGAGAAGAUAAUGACGGUAUCUAAAGUAUAAGCCACGGCUAACUCCGUGCCAGCAGCAGUGGUAAUACGGAGGGUGCCAGCGUUACUCGGAAUCACUGGGCGUAAAAGGCGCGUAGGCGGGAUAUGAAGUCAGUUGUGAAAUCCUAUGGCUUAACCAUAGAACUGCAUUUGAAACUGUUAUUCUAGAGUAUGGGAGAGGUAGGUGGAAUUCGUGGUGUAGGGGUAAAAUCCGUAGAGAUCAAGAGGAAUACUCAUUGCGAAGGCGACCUGCUAGAACAUAACUGACGCUGAUGCGCGAAAGCGUGGGGAGCAAACAGGAUUAGAUACCCUAGUAGUC